UACGUAGGGUGCAAGCGUUGUCCGGAAUUAUUGGGCGUAAAGAGCUCGUAGGCGGUCAGUCGCGUCUGCUGUGAAAACUCGGGGCUUAACUCCGGGCCUGCAGUGGGUACGGGCUGACUAGAGUGCGGUAGGGGAGACUGGAAUUCCUGGUGUAGCGGUGAAAUGCGCAGAUAUCAGGAGGAACAGCCGGUGGCGAAGGCGGGUCUCUGGGCCGUAACUGACGCUGAGGAGCGAAAGCGUGGGGAGCGAACAGG
rnacentral:rRNA from 1 species